CUUAAAGCUGAGCUCCGCCUCCUUCAUCAUGUUCAUCUUUAUCAACCUUCAAUUUCUUCUGCUUCAGCUUUGGGUGGUUGAUACAAUACCAUGGUUGUGCUGGUAUAAGGAUUAUUUCAGCUUGCAUGAUAUGCUUCCAGUUGUUUUUGGUGCUAACAUCAUGGUUCUCAUCUUCUGAGGUUUGCUUCCUUCUUCAACUAUAGCUGAGAUAAAGAUUAUGGGAUGCUCGAAACCACCGAUAGUUGAAAAAGAUCAAGUAACUCAGUCUCUUGAAUCUUAUAUGAUUUGUUGAUCCCCAAUCUGCUGAGAUUUCAUUUUUGUUGGCUAGUGUAGAUAGGCUAAUUAGCACUUUCACUUUUUUGUUUACCCUUCCAGGUUGUAAAUAUGAUGUAUGUGAAAAACCUUGUUGUAGCCCUUCCAGUCCCCUUAUCUUUUUGCUAAAACUAGCCUCAGAUAUGGGUAUUAUUGCUUGUCACUGUUAA